UAGUGCUAGCGCCCGGACGUCCGGACCGACGCACACGUCCGGACGACCAGACCUGUACUCAACUCUCUACGCACAACUGCAUCCCGCUUCCGUCCGCGCGCGCUCACACCACUUGGACCUCAUCCCGUGCUGCCUCGACUGCACCUGGGGAGUCCUCGCUCGCACCCUCUCCCGCUUCCGUCCACGUGGACGCACACCUCUUGGACUCUAUCCCAUGUUGCCUCGACUGCACCCGGGGAGUUCUCGCUCGCACCUGCUCCGCUGCUCACGCGCGUGCACAUGGCCAGCAGUUGCAACAGGUGACUGCAGAAAGAUGGCUAAGCCAGCAUCCAGAAAGAGGGGGAGAGGCAACAGAUGCCCCGUCAGUGCCGAAAAGGAGGACAAAAACACACGAGGUCAAGGUGAGGAAGUGGAAAAGCAAAGACAGGGAUGCAAAAUCCGAUCUACUUUUGAAACAUCAGAAUACAAUGUUUGCAACAUACACCUAAAGGCAGAUGAAACAAAUAAAAUAUGCAUCUGAAACACACUAUCUACAACACUAUAUACUUUUGAAACAUCUAGAUGAAACACUUGCAACAUUAGUACGAAACAACUGAAACACUUGAAACAUGCUAAUUAAACACUCGCAAAAAACACCAUGCAACAUCCAGAUCAAAACACUUGCAACAUGUCUAGAGAAAAAAAUUACUUGUUGCAAUAUCAAACCAAAGCUACUACAAUAGCAAACAAAAAGCGCAAAUGCAUGGUACAACAUAAAAAAACUAAUGCAACAUCUCAUACAGUAGUACUACAACAUCUCAUGAGGUAGUACUGCAACAUGGUAAAAACAAAUAUGAAACAUGGAACGAUGGAAACAACUCAAUAAUCACCUUUUAGUGUUGCAAUAUUUGUAAAAGAUAAUUUCAAUAAUUGAAAAUCCCCUACUGCAGCAAUCUCAACAGCAAUCUCAACAACAGUACUCUCUUUCUGCAACACAUGCUUCACACCUAUUGCAACAUUUGAAAUCAUCUUUUGCAACAUCCCCAAAAAUCUAUUACAACACGGAGAAACAGCAAAAAAACAUACAAAACAGCAAGGGGAUGGGUUCGAGGUGUAGGAUUCUCUAGCCCUGGCCCAUCACCUUCGAGCUCGCUGGAGGAAGAAGAAAUAGGAUCUUAGCCCACUGUUGUGUCCCUCAGAUCCAGAGAAGGAGGAGGAGGCUUAGAUCCAGUGGAUGAAGGGUAGGAGAAGGAGGAGGGCUCAGAUCCAGUGGAGGAGGAGGAGGGCUCAGAUCCAGAAAGAAUCCACCUACCUCGCUGGAAGCCAUCGCCGUCGUGCUUCUCUCCGUUGCCAUGGAGAUCACUAGAGCGAGGGGAGGGAGGCAGAGAAGGAGGGAGGCGCCGCUUGCCGAGGAGCAGGGAGGGAGGGAGCACCGGCAGGUGGGCGAGGCGACAUUAACUGUGCAACGCCCGUCCUGGUUGCGGGAGUGAACGAGGUGAGAAAAGACUG
rnacentral:lncRNA from 1 species